rnacentral:lncRNA from 1 species
CUUUUAUUUGCGGAGGACAAACACGUGCGGAGCGGAGCAAGCRUUUGGCACGGCUGCCCGUAGCCCUCCGAGGGUGAUCCGGUGUCUGCAGACGAGGCCAGGUUUAUGUGGGCAGGACUGUUAGAACUUCAGAAAUUAAUGCUUCCUGAAAGCAGUAGAUUUCCCUCCGGGAUCACACGGCUUUCAGCCCUGCUCCUGGGUGAAGAAAUGAUAUUUGCAGAGGAGUAAAACUGUUUGGGAGUCAAAUUCUCCUUGACAGAAGACAACCGAAAUCUUGUGGAUUAACUCCGAG